rnacentral:lncRNA from 1 species
UCCAAGAAGCUUGAACAUCAUCCAGGACACUUUGUGGGUCCUAUUUAGAUGAUCAGUCAACACAAGGGAAAGACUUGAGUUACUUCCAACAGGGGUCUAUUCGUUAGUCAAAACGUUAAUCUUGAAGGAGCAAAGGUUUGUUCAUGAGUUGUCAUGCUCGCUAGGCGAAGCCCACGUGUUUUGAAAAAAAAAACGAAAAAA